CCGGCCUCCCAAAGUGCUGGGAUUACAGGUGUGAGCCACUGCACCCGGCCUUUUUAAACAUUUUAAAACUAAAACGUUGACUUCUAGCAAAGUAAAAUGUACACAAGAUUAAACAUUAAAUAAUGUCAAAAACAUUUUGAUGAAGUUCAGCAAUUCCCUGCCUCAUCUUUUCACAUUCUUAUUCCUUGAUCUUGUAGUUCUUUACUAUGUUUAGAUUUGUAAAUUCAUGCUUCUGAAGAAUAUGACUACACAUCAUUUUUUCCAGUUUAACAGUCUAUUGACUUCCUGUUAUACAUAACUAUCAUUAGUUUUUUUCUAUAUUUUACCUUAUUUGUUACAUGUGUAUACGUUUUUCACACAUAAUUCCAAAGAUUCUAUCAGUUUCCAUCUAUCAUCUGGAGAAAAGUCUUUACUAUUCCCGAAGUGUACUUCAUUUCUGAAUACUCAAAUUACUUUAUGCCACUCUCCAUGUGGCAUAUUUAUUUUUUUCUCAGUUUGAUCUUUUAUCUUCCUAAAUGCAGUCAUCCAGAGGUUGUUCAGAAAAGGUGUAUAGUAGGUAUAUUUUUAGUAUCCUUAUAGAUUUAAAAUUUCUAGAGUAAAAAAAUUGUUUUUCUUAAAAAGUUUGAACACAUUACGCCUUGCUUUUUAGCAUUUAAUGCUGCUGUGGAGAAAUAUAUUUUUCAGGCAGAAAGAAAUGGAAGAAAAACAGCAAGGUGCAAGUUCUAUAUCAGAGAAAAAAAGUUUCCCAGAAAUUCUCAGAUUAUUUAUCACUAACCAGAUCUAAGUCAAAUGGUCUCUCCCAGAUGCAAGGGAAUUUACAAAGGCAAGUUUUAAAUUGGAUACAUUGCCCCCUAAAUAAUAUCAGGAUCCCAUUAGAAAUAACAAAAAUAGGAAUGGAUAUUGGAUAGGCAAUGAAAAUAUCUGUUGAAUUUGGUUUCACCAUAAUUUAUGUGACUAAUACCUUAUUAUAAACAUACCUCACAAAGAUACCUUGUUUCAUUGUGCUUUGCUUUGUUGCACUUCACAUGUAUUUUGCCUUUACAGAUUGAAGAUUUGUGGCAACCUUGCUUCUAGCAAGUCUAUUGAUGUCAUUUUUUUAAACAGCAUUUGCUCAUUUUCUGUCUCUGUGCCACACUUUGAUAAUUCUUGCAAUGUUUCAAACUUGUUUAUUAUUAUUAUAUCUGUUAUGGUCAUCUGUUACACUGGUGAUCUUUGAUGUCAUUGCAAUUGCUCUGUAGCACUACAAACCAUGCCCAAAUAAGAUAGGAAAUUUAACCAAUAUAUGUUGUGUGUCUUCUAGCUGCUCCACCAACCAGCUGUCCCGCUGUCUGUCUCCCUCUCCAAGGGCCUCCCUACCCCUGAGACAUAGCAGUAUCGAAGUUAGAACAAUUAAUAAUCCAACAGUGUUCUCUAAGCAUUCAAAUGAGGGGAAGAGCAACCCAUCUCACUUUAAAUCAAAAGCUAGAAAUGAUUAAGCUUAGCGGAGAUGGCAUUUUGAAAACUGAUAUAGGCUGAAAUCUAGGCCUCUUGCACCAAACAGCCAAGUUGUGAAUACAAAGGAAAUGUUCUUGGAGGAAAUUAAAAUUGCCACUCCUCUGAACACGUAAAUGAUAAGAAAUCAAAACAGCCAGAUUGCUGCUAUAGAGAAAGUUUUAGUGGUCUGAAUAGAUCAAAUCAGCACAACAGUGUCUUAAGUCAAAGCCUGAUCCAGAGCAAGGCCUUAACUUACUCCAAUUCUGUAUAGGCUGAGAGGUAAGGAAGCUGUGGAAGAAAAGCUUGAAGCUAACAGAGGUUGGCUCAUGAAAUUUAAGGAACAAGGAUAUCUCCGUAACAUAAUAGUAGAAAGUGAAGCAGCAAGUGCUGAUUAGAAGCUGCAGUAAGUUAUCCCAGUACAGCUAAGAUAAUUGAUGAAGGUGGCAACAUUAGAUAACAGAUUUUCAAUGUAGACAAAACAGCCUUAUAUUGGAAGAAGAUGCCAUCUAGGUCUUUUAUAGCUAAAGAAGAGGAGUGACUGAGUGGCUUCAAAAGACAUGGUGACUCUCGUGUUAGGGGCUAAUUGCAGCUGAUGAUUCUAACUUGAAGCCGGUGCUCGUGUACCAUUCUGAAAAUCCUAGGGCCCUUAAGAGCUAUGCUAAAUCUACUCUGCCUAUGCUCCGUAAGUGGAAGAAUGAAGUUUGGAUGACAGCACAUCUAUUUACAGCAUGGUUUACUGAAUAUUUUAAGGCCAAUGUUGAGACUUACUGACUGCUCUUUGGACAAUGAACCUGGUCAUUCAAGAGCUCUGAUGGAGAUGUACAAAGAGAUUAACGUUUUGAUGCCUGCUAACACAUAUUCAUUCUACAGCCAAUUGAUCAUGGAGUAAUUUUGACUUCCAAUUCUUAUUAUUUAAGAAAUGCAUUUCAUAAGGCUGUAAUUUCUAGUGGUUCUUCUAAUGAAUCUUAGAAAGUCAAUUGAAAACAUUUAGUGGUGAGUGGGAAGUAUUCACCACUCUAGAUAUCAUUUAGAGCAUUCAUGGAAGGAGGUCAGAAUCUUGAUAUUAACAGGAGUUUCAAAGAAGCUAAUUCCAAUAAUCAUUGAUGACUUUGAAAUUAGGCCAAUUAAUAACCCUACAAUGGCUUUUAAGUGUUCAAGUGAAACUAAGAGUUGCACAUCUGUCCCUGAGUUCAAGUGAAGUUCAAGAUUUCAGUGGAGGCAGUAACUACAGAUGUGUUAGAAAUAGCAAGAGAACUAGAAGUGAAGCCUAAAGAUGUGACUUAAUUCCUUGGAUCUCAUGAUAAAACUUAGAUGGAUGAGGAAUUGCUUCAUAUGGAUGAGCAAAGAAAGUGGUUUAUUGAGAUGGAAUCAACUCCUGGUGGAGAAGCUGUGAAUGUUGUUGAAAUGACAACAGAGUAUUUAGAAUA